GAUCCUGGCUCAGGAUGAACGCUGGCGGCGUGCUUAACACAUGCAAGUCGAACGAAGCACCUUGAUUUGAUUCUUCGGAUGAAGAUCCUGGUGACUGAGUGGCGGACGGGUGAGUAACGCGUGGGUAACCUGCCUCAUACAGGGGGAUAACAGUUAGAAAUGACUGCUAAUACCGCAUAAGACCACCAGCACCGCAUGGUGCAGGGUAGGAAACUACCGGU
rnacentral:rRNA from 1 species